CACAUUUGCAGGUUUUCUCGCGGUAAGGUCUGUACAAAUAGGCCUCGUUCAUAAUGACGGUCACUCGCCCUUCGUCAAGUCAAGGGGAGUGCCUGUAAUCUUCUCCGUGUGUCCUCGGACUUAAAAGGGAUUGAGGCGGAUUUAGCGCGUGUCAAAUAGAGAUUAUCCGUUUUGGGGAUAAAUUACAAGAAAAAACGAUAAGAAAAUAUCGAGUCUUGGAAAAGGUCAAAGGUCAAUGCCUAAUAGUAGCGGCUCAUCGGUACUGCGGCCCUCAUCUUCCACCGGCGUCUUCGGAGAGAGGAGCCCACCCGCAUCAGACCGAUCAACCAUUCAUUCUAGUAUAUCAGUUCUUUUAAGACAAUGUAUGCUGGCUUAAGCGAUACACAAUAUCACAUCACACCAAUAUAAAAAUAAUAGUAAAAAGAAAA